rnacentral:rRNA from 1 species
CGCGCAGGCGGCCAUUUAAGUUGGACGUGAAAGCCUACGGCUCAACCGUAGAACUGCAUCCAAAACUAUUUGGCUAGAGUGUGGGAGAGGAAGAUGGAAUUAGUUGUGUAGGGGUAAAAUCCGUAGAGAUAACUAGGAAUACCAAAAGCGAAGGCAAUCUUCUGGAACACUACUGACGCUGAGGCGCGAAAGCGUGGGGAGCAAACAGGAUUAGAUACCCUGGUAGUCC